rnacentral:lncRNA from 1 species
CCGCCCCCCCCCACCGAGGCCAGGCCCAGGGGGAGAGGCACCACGAUAGGGUGGCCCUCGGCGCGGACCGGCGGCCGCUCCGGGCAUCGAGCGGCUUCGUUCCGGGCGGGCGCUGGCUCCAGCGAGCCAGGCAGCCAGAGAGCGACAGAGGCCACGCCCACCCGCUCCGCGCCUCAACGGGCGGCGCACGCGCACCAGGCUGGCCCUGUCCCGCGCGGCCUGCCUCGCGAGCCUGCGCCCGGAGUUCCCGCGAGAGCUGCGCGGGCGCCUGAGGCGGGGGGGGCUUUCGUUGGUGCCGCUUCCACAGCCCCCUACUCGUCUUCCUCCCCCCGCCGGCGCGGGCUCAGCUGCGCAGCUUCCCUCAGUCGCGCCGCCGGAGCCGCCGCCGGGAGACGGUUGAACGAGCCGUUUGUGGAGGGCGCACGCAGCGCGAGACGAGCGGCCGCCCCUGACCUCGCGCCUCCCGCCGCCGGAGCCCGCCAGCCCGGGUGUCUGAGGUACGACGGGGCGGGCGGCCGGGCCGGGGUGGGGUGGGGGGGUGAGGAGCCGGAGCCGGAGAAGGACGGACGGACGUGGGGGGGAGGGAGGGAGGUAGGCCCGGAGCGGGGCCCGCGGCGGACGGAGGCCUCGCGCCGCCAUCUUGAGCGCGUUGGCGCGCCUGGGCCCGGCCCGGCUUGGCCCGCCCCUCCGGUCUCCACCGCCUCGGGUCCAGCGGCCGUCGGGUCCUGCCGGGGCCGAGCUCUGCCCGGAGGCCGGAGCGGGCUCCGUGGAGAUGGCGCCGGGACGUGCCUCGUUCUCCUCCCGCGGCGUCCGGGCCCCGCCGGCCGCUUCCAGGGCCAGGGCCCGGGUCGGACCGCGAAGGGAGCGCCUGGGCGCGGGACAAAGGAGGCGGCCUCCUUUGUAAUGCCGCGGCCCCCGCCCCCGGAGGAUGCCCGAGGCCGCGCCUUCCCCGGGGAGGGCUCUGCCUGGGCCCUUAAAGCGACUUUGGGGAAAGUAACGGAAGCGGGAGCGGGGUCUGGGGGCGGCUGGGCUUUGUGGGGGCGGGGGCGGCGGCGGCGCGGAGCCGCGGCUGGGGAUUCAUUUGUGAAUUCUGCAUUUCAGUGUUUCAGUUAA